UGAUAGGAAAGAGAAGAGAAAAGGGAAGAAAAAAAUUAAUGAUGUUCUGAAAGGGAUGUUAAAAUGAAGAUAUUUGAAGAGAUAAUGCAAUAUUGUGAUCCUGAAACUCGUCUAUAAGGGAAACAUCUCAAGGAAUAUAGGCUGACAUGUAAAAAAAAAAGGGGGGGGGGGGUAACUGAUUAGAAGAGCUUGGUGAGGUAAAACAAUGCAAAAAAUAAGGCUCUCGGGGUGGGUAUGCUCAGACGCUUCCACCUCUCAUGUCAGCUAUUCUCAAAGGCUAAAAUGGAGUUUAAUCGGGUUUUCAAGGGUGUUUUUUACGUUUAAGGUUCAGAAGAGGGGUCAAACUACCACCAGGGUCAUAAAUGUACCUCUGGAAAUGCCCAAUACCCCUUCAAAAACCCUGUCAAAUGUGAGUAUGUAAGCGGCGAAGCGUUUGAGAAUAUGGUCCCGGGAGUCUAACCUCGGCUCUCCAUCAUGCCACGCUGCACGCCGACCACACAGCCACCGCCUCCCCGGGUCAGCUUUCGUUAGGCUCGCUGGGAAGAAUGCGAAAGAUAAGCUGCCUCAACGAUAUAUGAAGAGGGAUUUCAGGACGUGUGGUUUGGUGAGGCCAGAUUAGAUAUUUAUAGGUCAGAUUGGGUUUGGCUCGACGUUCCCAGAUUGUUGUACUCAGUCAGUCUCAUGCUGUACGAUUUCUGACCCCAGGAUAGGUUAGAUGAAUAUAGGAUUGGUUAGAUAGGUUAGGUUAUGUUAGCUUAGCCAUUGGGUAGGUAAAGGAUAGGUUAGGUUAGAUUUGGUUAGAUGAAGAUGGGAUUGGUUUGAUUAGGUUAGAUAGCUUAGGUUAGGUUAGCUUAGGGAUAGGUUAUGUUAGAUUUGGUUAGAUGAAUAUAGGAUUGGUUAGAUUAGGUUAGAUAGGUUAGGUUAGGUUAGCUUAGCCAUUGGGUAGGUAAAGGAUGGGUUAGGUUAGAUUUGGUUAGAUGAAGAUGGGAUUGGUUUGAUUAGGUUAGAUAGGUUAGGUUAGGUUAGCUCAGCCAUUGGGUAGGUAAAGGAUAGGUUAGGUUAGAUUUUGUUAGAUGAAUAUAGGAUUGGUUAGAUUAGGUUAGAUAGGUUAGGUUAUGUUAGCUUAGGGAUUGGGUAGGUAAAGGAUAGGUUAGGUUAGAUUUGGUUAGAUGAAGAUGGGAUUGGUUUGAUUAGGUUAGAUAGGUUAGGUUAGGUUAGCUUAGGGAUAGGUUAGGUUAGAUUUGGUUAGGUGAAUAUAGGAUUGGUUAGAUUAGGUUAGAUAGGUUAGGUUAGGUUAGCUUAGGGAUAGGUUAGGUUAGAUUUGGUUAGAUGAAGAUGGGAUUGGUUUGAUUAGGUUAGAUAGGUUAGGUUAGGUUAGCUAAGCCAUUGGGUAGGUAAAGGAUAGGUUAGGUUAGAUUUGGUUAGAUGAAGAUGGGAUUGGUUAGAUUAGGUUAGAUAGGUUAGGUUAGGUUAGCUUAGCCAUUGGGUAGGUAAAGGAUGGGUUAGGUUAGAUUUGGUUAGAUGAAUAUAGGAUUGGUUAGAUUAGGUUAGAUAGGUUAGCUUAGCCAUUGGGUAGGUAAAGGAUAGGUUAGGUUAGAUUUGGUUAGAUGAAGAUGGGAUUGGUUUGAUUAGGUUAGAUAGCUUAGGUUAGGUUAGCUUAGGGAUAGGUUAGGUUAGAUUUGGUUAGAUGAAGAUGGGAUUGGUUUGAUUAGGUUAGAUAGCUUAGGUUAGGUUAGCUUAGGGAUAGGUUAGGUUAGGGAUAGGUUAUGUUAGAUUAGGUUAGGUUAGCUUAGGGUAGAUUUGGUUACAUUAGAUUAGUUUAGAUAAGGAUGGGAUAGAUUAGGUUAGAUAAAGUUAGCUUAAGUUAGGUUAGCUUAGGGAUAGGAUAGGCCUAGGUAAGGUUAGACUAGGUUUGGUUAGCUUAGGAUAAGUUUAGUUAGAUUAGAUUAGUUUAGAUGAGGAUGGGAUAGAUUAGAUUAGAUUAGGAUAGACAAGGGGUCCUAACUAUGGAAGAUAAACUGAUUGAAAUACAGAGAGAGAGAGAGAGAGAGAGAGAGAGAGAGAGAGAGAGAGAGAGAGAGAGAGAGAGAGAGAGAGAGAGAGAGAGAGAGAGAGAGAGAGAGGGGCGUGUGUGGCGAGGGGUAUUUUGGCGUAGAGCGAGUGAAUAAAAUAAAAAAAGAAGAUGAAAAGCAAAACAAAUAUCCACAGCGUCGAUUUUAAAGAUAUCUGGUUCAUAAAAUGACGGCCAUGAUUAUUUUGGUGUUUGUGUGUGCGUGCGUGUGUGUGUGUGUGUGUGUGUGUGUGUGUGUGUGUGUGUGUGUGUGUG